rnacentral:rRNA from 1 species
UACAGAGGUGGCAAGCGUUGUUCGGAAUUACUGGGCGUAAAGGGCGCGUAGGCGGCCUUCUAAGUCAGACGUGAAAUCCCCCGGCUUAACCUGGGAACUGCGUCUGAUACUGGGAGGCUUGAGUAUGGGAGAGGGAUGUAGAAUUCCAGGUGUAGCGGUGAAAUGCGUAGACAUCUGGAGGAAUACCGGUGGCGAAGGCGGCCAACUGGCCCGACCCUGACGCUGAGGCGCGAAGGCGUGGGGAGCGAACGGG